rnacentral:rRNA from 1 species
CAGUCGCCACGGUAACACGUAGGUGGCGAGCGUUGUCCGGAAUUAUUGGGCGUAAAGGGAGCGCAGGCGGACAUAUAAGUCCAUCUUAAAAGUGCGGGGCUCAACCCCGUGAGGGGAUGGAAACUGUAUGCCUUGAGUGCAGGAGAGGAAAGCGGAAUUCCCAGUGUAGCGGUGAAAUGCGUAGAUAUUGGGAGGAACACCAGUGGCGAAGGCGGCUUUCUGGACUGCAACUGACGCUGAGGCUCGAAAGCCAGGGGAGCGAACGGGAUUAGAUACCCCCGUAGUCCCUGUCUCUUAUACA